rnacentral:misc_RNA from 1 species
GGUAGUUAUAGCACUCUUUGAUGGUCCCAGCAAGAAGAAAUGGAGAAAAUGUGAUUGAUAUCUGGGAUCUUUCUGGGGAUUUAAACGGCCAAUGCAUGAGAUGAUGAGCGUUUGAUUUCGAAACUAACACUUUUGUUUUUGUUUAGCACGUGAAAUUGCAGAUUUUACCAAAUCCAUCCAGUUUUUGCAAAUCAAAGAGCAAUAGCAUAGAUUGCUUAAUUACGCAGCGUCAG